rnacentral:rRNA from 1 species
CUUCUUUGCUGGCGACCGGCGCACGGGUGAGUAACACGUAUCCAACCUGCCCUUUACUCGGGGAUAGCCUUUCGAAAGAAAGAUUAAUACCCGAUAGCAUAAUGAUUCCGCAUGGUUUCAUUAUUAAAGGAUUCCGGUAAAGGAUGGGGAUGCGUUCCAUUAGGUUGUUGGUGAGGUAACGGCCCACCAAGCCUUCGAUGGAUAGGGGUUCUGAGUGGAAGGUCCCCCACAUUGGAACUGAGACACGGUCCAA